AGUUAAUGGCUUCCUGUGGCUGCGUGUUUACUUCUCAUUUGUUCUGUUUCCCAGCCCCUGAAAACAAGAAAGGCUAACUUUAAAAUCUCUAUUCCCACAGCUCCGUCUCUGACUGUCUGCCUCUCCUUUCUUCUUCUUCUUCUCUCAGAAACAAAAGAAGUUGGCUUUCUCAAAGCUGCAGCACAAUGACUCAUACCUGAAGCCCCUCCCUAAAAGCAGCUACUACCUGGUCUUUGACCUCCAGAGGCAGUUAGCUGAGCGAGGACGUCUGAAGACUCACCACGAGCUGGAGGACUUCUACAGAGCCGUCGAGUUCAGAGGUCGGCCGUCACAGCUCCAGAGGAGUCUGGAGGCUGUGAGGAGAAACAUGCUGGAGAGCAGACCUGCAGCUGAUUUGAUGACAUCAGAAGAACGACGCUGCGCUGCUGAAGAAAAAAGACGUGAGGAGAACAUUUCAAAGUUCAGGUGAGAG